rnacentral:misc_RNA from 1 species
GAUGAAGAACGUAGCGAAAUGCGAUACGUAGUGUGAAUUGCAGAAUUCAGUGAAUCAUCGAAUCUUUGAACGCACAUUGCACCUCUCGGUAUUCCGGGAGGUAUGCCUGUUCGAGCGUCAUUUCAACCCUCGAGCCCCCCCCGGGGGCCUCGGUGUUGGGGGACGGCACACCAGCCGCCCCCGAAAUGCAGUGGCGACCCCGCCGCAGCCUCCCCUGCGUAGUAGCACACACCUCGCACCGGAGCGCGGAGGCGGUCACGCCGUAAAACGCCCAACUUUCUUAGAGUUGACCUCGGAUCAGGUAGGAAUACCCGCUGAACUUAAGCAUAUCAAUAAGCGGAGGA